GGUGAAGGUGAAUUGUUACUGAGCCCUGGAUAUCCCUGUAAUCUGCCCCCCAGAGUAAAAUGUACGGGCAGUAGCAAAAAUGGUGACUCAGCCUCGAGGAACCUCUGUCUUUGAGCAGACUCACACAGCAAUGAAAGAACUAGAUGCGUCUGUAAAAUUUGUGACAAAUCUUGCUGCAAAGUGGAAAACUUAGAAGACUUUGGAUAACAGCCAAGAAGAGCUGUCUGGUAGGGCUAAUGCCACACAUUUGUCAGGAGAAAAUGCUGAGUUAUUGGAAGACUGGCAUAGUUCCUGGAACAACUGACAGCAGGAUAAAGAAGAUUUCAGUUACAGAAACCAAAAAUGGUCUUGCCUGCUUCUUGCCUGUGACCAAACUGAUCAGGAUCAGCUCAUACCUGGGCUGAAGACCAUCCUAGAAGUUACGGUGUUCCUUCUAAUUUUUACCUAUCAAUAUGACAACUGUGUCAGCAUGUUUGACCUCUGAAUAAAGCAUACUAUUAAUUUUUGCA
rnacentral:lncRNA from 1 species